UGCUUGUCGAGAGCGGACACGACA
rnacentral:misc_RNA from 1 species